rnacentral:rRNA from 1 species
UACGUAGGGCGCAAGCGUUGUCCGGAUUUAUUGGGCGUAAAGCGCGCGCAGGCGGUUCGGCAAGUCGGAUGUGAAAAUCCGGGGCUCAACCCCGGACGUGCAUCCGAUACUCCCGGACUGGAGGAAGGUAGGGGAGAGCGGAAUUCCCGGUGUAGCGGUGAAAUGCGUAGAUAUCAGGAGGAACACCUGUGGUGUAGACAGCUUACUGGACCACUUCUGACGCUGAGACACGAAAGCGUGGGUAGCAAACAGG